CAGUAGCCACGGUAAUACGUAGGGUGCAAGCGUUAAUCGGAAUUACUGGGCGUAAAGCGUGCGCAGGCGGUUCGUUAAGACAGAUGUGAAAUCCCCGGGCUUAACCUGGGAACUGCAUUUGUGACUGGCGGGCUAGAGUAUGGCAGAGGGGGGUAGAAUUCCACGUGUAGCAGUGAAAUGCGUAGAGAUGUGGAGGAAUACCGAUGGCGAAGGCAGCCCCCUGGGCCAAUACUGACGCCCAUGCACGAAAGCGUGGGGAGCAAACAGGAUUAGAUACCCGAGUAGUCCCUGUCUCUUAUAC
rnacentral:rRNA from 1 species